GAUUUACUCCCUCCGUCCGGAAAUACUUGUCAUGGAAAUGGAUGUAUCUAGACGUAUUUUACUUCUAGAUACAUCCAAUUUUAUCUAUUUGUGCGACAAGUAUUCCGGGACGGAGGGAGUAUUAU
rfam:Triticum aestivum genome assembly, contig: Triticum_aestivum_CS42_TGACv1_scaffold_580378_7BL